AGAGCGCGACCCCCCACAAUGGAACUGAGACACGGUCCAUACUCCUACGGGAGGCAGCAGUGAGGAAUAUUGCGCAAUGGGGGAAACCCUGACGCAGCAACGCCGCGUGGAUGAUGAAGGCCUUCGGGUUGUAAAAUCCUUUUUCUGAGGGACGAUAAUGACGGUACCUCAGGAAUAAGUCCCGGCUAACUACGUGCCAGCAGCCGCGGUAAAACGUAGGGGGCGAGCGUUAUCCGGAUUUAUUGGGCGUAAAGCGCGCGUAGGCGGCGCUGUAAGUUGGGCGUGAAAGCUCUCGGCUUAACUGAGAGAGGUCGUUCAAAACUACAGCGAUUGAGGUUGGAAGAGGAGAGUGGAAUUUCAGGUGUAGUGGUGGAAUGCGUAGAUAUCUGAAGGAACACCAGUGGCGAAAGCGACUCUCUGGUCCACACCUGACGCUGAGGUGCGAAAGCGUGGGUAGCGAACGGGAUUAGAUACCCCGGUAGUCCACGCCGUAAACGAUGGAUACUAGGUGUAGGAGGUUAUUUACCCCUUCUGUGCCAAAGCAAACGCGUUAAGUAUCCCGCCUGGGGACUACGACCGCAAGGUUAAAACUCAAAGGAAUUGACGGGGGCCCGCACAAGCAGCGGAGCGUGUGGUUUAAUUCGAUGAUACGCGAAGAACCUUACCUGGGCAUGACAUGUUGGUAGUAGUGAAGCGAAAGCGGAACGACCCUUCGGGGAGCCAUCACAGGUGCUGCAUGGCUGUCGUCAGCUCGUGUCGUGAGAUGUUGGGUUAAGUCCCGCAACGAGCGCAACCCUCGUCGUUAGUUACAAGUGUCUAACGAGACUGCCGGUUUCAAACCGGAGGAAGGUGGGGAUGACGUCAAGUCAGCAUGGUCUUUAUGUCCAGGGCUACACACACGCUACAAUGGGCGGUACAAUAGGUUGCCACACCGCGAGGUGGAGCUAAUCCUCAAAGCCGUCCUCAGUUCGGAUAGCAGUCUACAACUCGACUGCUUGAAGGUGGAGUUGCUAGUAACCGCGCGUCAGCAUAGUGCGGUGAAUGCGUUCCCGGGCCUUGUACACACCGCCCGUCACAUCAUGGAAGUCGGUAACACCUGAAGUCGGUGACUUAACCGCAAGGAUGGAACUGCCUAAGGUGGGACCGGUAACUGGGAUGAAGUCGCAACAAGGUAGCUGUAGCGGAAGCUGCGGCUG
rnacentral:rRNA from 1 species